rnacentral:lncRNA from 1 species
ACCUGGCGAGAUAGCGUGGGCGUGGGCCUUAUCUGCACACGGACAGGAUGGACUGGUCCUAGGGCCUCUAUAUCACUCACUCGCUUUCUCGGGUUCCCCCUAUCUCGUGGGCCUUACGAUGGCCCGGACUGUGAUAGUGCUUGGCGGAGGUAUCAGCGGAUUGGCCGCAAGUUAUCAUCUGACCCGAAGCCCCAGUCCUCCUAAGGUGAUCUUAGUGGAGGGCAGCAAACGUUUGGGAGGCUGGAUCCGUUCAGUCCGAGGAUCAGAUGGUGCGAUCUUUGAACUUGGACCUCGAGGAAUUAGGCCGGCUGGAGCCCUGGGAGCCCGGACCCUGCUCCUGGGCUUGUGGAGAGCAGGUUUCUGAACUUGGCUUGGAAUCCGAAGUCUUGCCUGUCCGAGGGGAUCAUCCAGCUGCCCAGAACCGGUUCCUGUAUGUAGGCGGUGCCCUGCACCCCCUACCCUCUGGCCUCAGGGGGCUACUUCGUCCUUCACCCCCCUUCUCAAAACCUCUAUUUUGGGCUGGACUGAGGGAGUUGACGAAGCCCAGGGGCAAAGAGCCUGAUGAGACUGUGCACAGUUUUGCCCAGCGCCGCCUUGGACCUGAGGUGGCGUCUCUGGCUAUGGACAGCCUUUGCAGAGGAGUGUUUGCUGGCAACAGCCAAGAGCUCAGCAUCCGGUCCUGCUUUCCCAGUCUCUUCCAAGCUGAACAA